UGGGGAAUAUUGGACAAUGGGGGCAACCCUGAAUCCAGCCAUGCCGCGUGAGUGAUGAAGGCCUUCGGGUUGUAAAGCUCUUUUGGCGGGGACGAUGAUGACGGUACCCGCAGAAUAAGCCCCGGCUAACUUCGUGCCAGCAGCCGCGGUAAGACGAAGGGGGCUAGCGUUGUUCGGAAUUACUGGGCGUAAAGCGAGUGUAGGCGGUUGCCGUAGUCAGGUGUGAAAGCCUUGAGCUCAACUCAAGAAAUGCACUUGAUACUGGGUGACUAGAGGACCGGAGAGGAUAGUGGAAUUCCCAGUGUAGUGGUGAAAUACGUAGAGAUUGGGAAGAACACCAGUGGCGAAGGCGGCUAUCUGGACGGUUACUGACGCUAAGACUCGAAAGCGUGGGGAGCAAAACAGGAUUAGAUACCCCUGGUAGUCCACGCCGUAAACGAUGGGUGCUAGACGUUGGCGAGCUUGCCCGUCAGUGUCGCAGCUAACGCGUUAAGCACCCCGCCUGGGGGAGUACGGCCGC
rnacentral:rRNA from 1 species